rnacentral:rRNA from 1 species
UGUGNUGAGGGUAGUGGGUAAAGAAGCGCCGGCUAANUACGUGCCAGCAGCCGCGGUAAUACGUAGGGCGCGAGCGUUNUCCGGAAUUAUUGGGCGUAAAGGGCUUGUAGGCGNCCGGUCGCGUCUGCCGUGAANUCCUCUGGCUCAACUGGGGGCGUGCGGUGGNUACGGGCUGGCUUGAGUGCGGUAGGGGAGACUGGAACUCCUGGUGUAGCGGUGGAAUGCGCAGAUAUCAGGAAGAACACCGGUGGCGAAGGCGGGUCUCUGGGCCGUUACUGACGCUGAGGAGCGAAAGCGUGGGGAGCGAACAGGAUUGGAUACCCUGGUAGUCCACGCUGUAAACGUUGGGCACUAGGUGUGGGGGCCACCCGUGGUUUCCGCGCCGUAGCUAACGCUUUAAGUGCCCCGCCUGGGGAGUACGGCCGCAAGGCUAAAACUCAAAGGAAUUGACGGGGGCCCGCACAAGCGGCGGAGCAUGCGGAUUAAUUCGAUGCAACGCGAAGAACCUUACCAAGGCUUGACAUGCGCCCCGGGCGCGCGGAGACGCGCGCGCAUUUGGUUGGGGGUGUGCAGGUGGUGCAUGGUUGUCGUCAGCUCGUGUCGUGAGAUGUUGGGUUAAGUCCCGCAACGAGCGCAACCCUUGCCCUAUGUUGCCAGCGCGUUAUGGCGGGGACUCGUGGGGGACUGCCGGGGUUAACUCGGAGGAAGGUGGGGAUGACGUCAAAUCAUCAUGCCCCUUAUGUCUUGGGCUUCACGCAUGCUACAAUGGCUGGUACAGAGGGUUGCGAUGCCGUGAGGCGGGGCGAAUCCCUUAAAGCCGGUCUCAGUUCGGAUUGGGGUCUGCAACUCGACCCCAUGAAGGUGGAGUCGCUAGUAAUCGCAGAUCAGCAACGCUGCGGUGAAUACGUUCUCGGGCCUUGUACACACCGCCCGUCACGUCACGAAAGUUGGUAACGCCCGAAGCCCAUGGCCCAACCGGCUCUUGCUGGGGGGA